AAUGUAGAUUUUAAUAGUGACCUAGAUAGUUAUACAAGUAUAAUAGGUUUUGUAUUUACUUUAGAAGGUUUUGAUGUGAAUUGGAUGUUUAAGCUUCAAAAGAGCAUUGCCUUAUCAAUUACCAAAAUAUAGUACAUGACUACUUCUAAAGCUGAAAAAAAAAAUGAUAUGGUUGAAGAAUUAUUUUAACAAAUUAAGCAUAGUGCGACUCAAUAAUAGUCUUUUUAGUAAUAGACAAAGUACAAUUUAUCUAAAUACAAGGAUUUUUAGAAGCAAAGCCCUUAAAAGAAAGUUUUUAUUUAGGCUUUUUAUUAGGGAUUUCUUUUUGUAAUAACAAUAUUCUAUGUUGAAAUCCUAGGCUUGCAAAUUUGGGGGUUUUCUUUUUUUCUUUUAUGAACUUCUUUCUCUGAAUUUUUUUUAUUCUAUUAAAUAAGUCAAUUCUUAACAUUCAUUUCUAUUAUACUAUCUU
rnacentral:lncRNA from 1 species